rnacentral:rRNA from 1 species
CUACGGGAUGCUCCAGUGAGGAAUGUUGCACAAUGGAGGAAACUCUGAUGCAGCAACGCCGCGUGGAGGAUGACGCAUUUCGGUGUGUAAACUCCUUUUAUAUGUCAAGAAAAUGACGGUAGCAUAUGAAUAAGCACCGGCUAACUCCGUGCCAGCAGCCGCGGUAAUACGGAGGGUGCAAGCGUUACUCGGAAUCACUGGGCGUAAAGGACGCGUAGGCGGGAUAUCAAGUCAGGUGUGAAAUCCUACAGCUUAACUGUAGAACUGCACUUGAAACUGGUAACCUAGAGUAUGGGAGGGGGAGAUGGAAUUAGUGGUGUAGGGGUAAAAUCCGUAGAUAUCACUAGGAAUACCUAAAGCGAAGGCGAUCUCCCGGAACAUUACUGACGCUAAGGCGUGAAAGCGUGGGGAGCAAACAGGAUUAGAUACCCCGGUAGUC